rnacentral:rRNA from 1 species
ACAUGCAAGUCGAGGGCAGCACGGUGUAGCAAUACAUGGGUGGCGACCGGCGCACGGGUGCGUAACGCGUAUCCAACCUUCCCGUUACUCUUGGAUAGCCUUCCGAAAGGGAGAUUAAUACAAGAUGGUAUUCAAAUUCCGCAUGUUAUUUGAAUUAAAGAUUUAUCGGUAACGGAUGGGGAUGCGUGACAUUAGAUAGUAGGCGGGGUAACGGCCCACCUAGUCUACGAUGUCUAGGGGUUCUGAGAGGAAGGUCCCCCACACUGGAACUGAGACACGGUCCAGACUCCUACGGGAGGCAGCAGUGAGGAAUAUUGGUCAAUGGUCGGAAGACUGAACCAGCCAAGUAGCGUGAAGGAUGAAGGUUCUAUGGAUUGUAAACUUCUUUUAUACGGGAAUAAAACCUCCCACGUGUGGGAGCUUGUAUGUACCGUAUGAAUAAGCAUCGGCUAACUCCGUG